rnacentral:rRNA from 1 species
CAGCAGCCACGGGAAAACGUAGGGGGCAAGCGUUAUCCGGAAUUACUGGGUGUAAAGGGAGCGUAGACGGUUAAACAAGUCUGAAGUGAAAUGCCGGGGCUCAACCCCGGAGCUGCUUUGGGAACUGUAGAACUGGAGUGUCGGAGGGGUAAGCGGAAUUCCCAGUGUAGCGGUGAAAUGCGUAGAUAUUGGGAGGAACACCGGCGGCGAAGGCGGCUUACUGGACGACAACUGACGUUGAGGCUCGAAGGCGUGGGUAGCAAACAGGAUUAGAUACCCGAGUAGUCCCUGUCUCUUAUAC